GGAGAAGUUCUUAUGGUCAAAUC
rnacentral:snRNA from 1 species